rnacentral:lncRNA from 1 species
UGACGUCUGACAGCUACUGCUGGCUCAGCUAUCCAGCCGCUGUGGUCGUCCGAACGCACCCAUAAUUCGCACACUUGAUCCAACGUUGCCAAGUCACUAAAAUCUCAAUAUUUGACACCAAUUUGACAAUUGACAGAUUAUCUUUUAAAAAUAAAUGUAAAUAGUUAUCCUUACUGAACAAAACAAAGUCGGGAAUAAUGGAUUAAUGGAUAUGUAAAAGCCAUAAGGAGAACAGAACUAAAAUUAAAAUAUGAAAGAAUAUGCAAUAAACAUUGUAUAAAAGUGGAAAGCCAGCCACUUUAAAAAGAUAUUCCAAACUAAAACAUGGGUUACCAAAGCAGGCAAUAAAAAGAAAAGGUGAUCUAGAAUGCAAGAGAAGAGCUGAUGAAAGAAGUAAAUGUAAAGAAAAUAA